GAUGAACGCUGGCGGCGUGCCUAAUACAUGCAAGUCGAACGAGGUGCUUUUGUAGCAAUACGAGAGUAUCCUAGUGGCGAACGGGUGAGUAACGCGUUGGUGACCUACCCCAAAGUGUGGGAUAACAGUCCGAAAGGAUUGCUAAUACCGCAUGUGGUCUUCGGAUUUAGAAACUGAUGACUAAAGGAGCAAUUCGCUUUGGGAGGGACCUGCGUCCCAUCAGCUAGUUGGUGAGGUAACGGCUCACCAAGGCGACGACGGGUAGGGGACCUGAGAGGGUGGCCCCCCACAAUGGAACUGAAACACGGUCCAUAAACCUACGGGUGGCAGCAGUAGGGAAUAUUGCACAAUGGGCGAAAGCCUGAUGCAGCAACGCCGCGUGUGCGAUGAAGGCCUUCGGGUCGUAAAGCACUUUUCUGAGGGAUGAGAAAGGACAGUACCUCAGGAAUAAGUCUCGGCUAACUACGUGCCAGCAGCCGCGGUAACAC
rnacentral:rRNA from 1 species